rnacentral:ribozyme from 1 species
UGAAUAUAUAUUAUUUAUAUUUUUACUAUUAUAACUCGCCAGGUCACCUGUCGGUCCCAAGCCCGGAUAAAGGAGGAGGGUUGU